rnacentral:rRNA from 1 species
UACGAAGGGUGCAAGCGUUACUCGGAAUUACUGGGCGUAAAGCGUGCGUAGGCGGUUUGUUAAGUCCGUUGUGAAAGCCCUGGGCUCAACCUGGGAAUUGCAGUGGAUACUGGCGAGCUAGAGUGCGGUAGAGGAUGGUGGAAUUCCCGGUGUAGCGGUGAAAUGCGUAGAGAUCCGGAAGAACACCGGUGGCGAAGGCGGUUAGCUGGGCAGUAGCUGACACUGAGGCGCGACAGCGUGGGGAGCAAACAGG